AUGGGCGCUUUGGUCUUCCAUGAUCCUCUGAAGGAAAAAAUGAAGGAAGUGCUAUUGUUCUUGCCCCCACUUCACAGGAGAGGAGAGGCUCAGUUGUUACCGACAUCUUCCACUUUACCAUAUCCCCCUCCCUGGGGGCCAGGAGCAGGGUGCUCUUGGGAGAGUGAAAGUGUUGUGUGUAUGGGAGAGGGCAGAAUGUUAAGCCGUCAAAUGAGGAGACUUGUUAAGGACAGGAGGGUCCAGAAAACAAAAACGCCUCCAACCACGGGCAAAGCCAAUGCAAUCUGUGAAGCCUGGGCCUUUACCUCACCCACCUACAUCUCAGAGCUCACGGGUGAACUCUGGAAAGCUGAGCUGGAACUAGGGGACCCAAUUUAGUCUCUCUGCUUUCUUUGUUCUAA
rnacentral:lncRNA from 1 species